rnacentral:misc_RNA from 1 species
GAUGAAGAACGCAGCGAAAUGCGAUAAGUAAUGUGAAUCGCAGAAUUCAGUGAAUCAUCGAAUCUUUGAACGCAUCUUGCGCUCCUUGGUAUUCUGAGGAGCAUGCCUGUUUGAGUGUCAUUAAAUUCUCAACUACACUGACUUUGAAUUGGUGUGGCUUGGAUUUGGGGGGAAAAUUGUUGUGGGCUUUUUGUAUAGUCUGCUCCCCUGAAAUUGAUUAGCGGUACCUUUGUGGAACUGUCUACAGGUGUGAUAAUUAUCUACAUCUUAGACAUCUGCUGGAAUGCUGCUCUCUAAACCUUACUUGUAUUGACAAUCUUGACCUCAAAUCAGGUAGGACUACCCGCUGAACUUAAGCAUAUCAAUAAGCGGAGGA